AACUUUGUGCGAUAGCACUAUUAUAGCCAAUGAGGUUUAUCCGAGGCACGAUUAUUGCUAAUAGACAAAGACAAAUACUAUAUGACCUCACUUAUAUGUAUAUAUAAAAAAUUAAAUAUUAAAAAUUGAACUCAG